rnacentral:lncRNA from 1 species
UUUCGGGAGGAUUGCCAUAAAAUGGUUCCCUUGGUAACAUUGUAUGCUUCCCAACUCCCAAGAUUUUCCAGAGUUUUCUGGUCUCUCAAGAAGAGUAAACUUGGCAAUGGACAUAGGCUAUUCCCCUACCCUGAUGGUGGAGGGAGGGACCGUAGGAGUGCAAGCACAUAGGAAGGCUGAGUGAACAGUGGGCAUGAGGCUGAGUCAGGAAGAAAGGAGGUAACGGUGCACGCAUCUGGGGAUCUGUUCUUGCCAGACUGCUAAAAUGGGCAAACUGAGUAAAAUGCCUUUACUGAUCACAGUGUUGAUACAAUUGAUUUCCUUCCUUCCUAACUCCAUCCCACGUUCCGGCAGGUCAUCCACACGGUGCAUCCUUGGCCUCUGUCACGGUUCCAGUAUGAUUCAAGACAGGACAUGACAGCAUUUAUAUAAUCCCAGCCUGUGGCAAGCAGGCUGAGGCAGGAAGGUCUCCAGCUUAAGACCAGCCUAGGCUAAAUAGUGAGAUCCUGUCUCAAGAAAGGUAGGAGCUGGGCACGGUGCUCCACACUUGUAAUCCCAGCACUGGGAAAGCAGAAACAGGAGGAUCCCCCACAAGUUAGUGGACCAUCGGGGUCUACAUAGUGAGUUUCAGGCCAGCUAGGGCUACGUAGUGAGGUCCUGCUUCAAACAGAGAAAAGGGGGUGGGGUGGGCCGAUGAAGUGUCUCAGGGGUUAAGGAGUUUGUCCCUAAGCCUAACCUGCGAUCUAUCCCUGGGACCUUCAUGAGAGAAGGAGAAAACUUACUCCAGAAGUAUUCCUCUAAUCUCUAUAUAUAAGCUUAGUGCCAAGUAUGUGUAUACCCAUGUGCAUCCUCACACCUCGGACAAGACAAAAUAAACAAAUAAUGUAUAUAAAUGU